rnacentral:rRNA from 1 species
AUUGAACGCUGGCGGCAUGCCUUACACAUGCAAGUCGAACGGCAGCACGGACUUAGGUCUGGAGGCGAGUGGCGCACGGGUGAGUAAUACAUCGGCACGUGCCCAGUAAUGGGGGAAAACGCAGCAAACGUUGUGAUAAUACCGCAUACGCCCUGAGGGGGAUAGGGGGGCAUCGCAAGACCUCAUGAUAGUGGAGCGGCAGGUGGCAGAUUGGAUAGUUGGUGGGGUAAAGGCCACCCAAGGCGACGAUCAGUAGCGGGUCAGAGAGGACGAGCAGCCACACGGGGACUGAGACACGGCCCAGACUCCUACGGGAGGCAGCAGUGGGGAAUUUUGGACAAUGGGCGAAAGCCUGAUCCAGCAAUGCCGCGUGUGCGAAGAAGGCCUUCGGGUUGUAAAGCGCUUUUGUCAGGGAAGAAAACUGUUUGGCUAAUACCCGAAUAGGAUGACGGUACCUGAAGAAUAAGCACCGGCUAACUACGUGCCAGCCGCCGCCGUAA